UACGUAGGUGGCAAGCGUUGUCCGGAAUUACUGGGUGUAAAGGGAGCGCAGGCGGAAAGCCAAGUCAGCUGUGAAAACUACGGGCUUAACUUGUAGACUGCAGUUGAAACUGGUUUUCUUGAGUGAAGUAGAGGUUGGCGGAAUUCCGAGUGUAGCGGUGAAAUGCGUAGAUAUUCGGAGGAACACCGGUGGCGAAGGCGGCCAACUGGGCUUUAACUGACGCUGAGGCUCGAAAGUGUGGGGAGCAAACAGG
rnacentral:rRNA from 1 species